rnacentral:rRNA from 1 species
GGAAUUGACGGGGGCCCGCAUAAGCGGUGGAGCAUGUGGUUUAAUUCGACGCAACGCGAAGAACCUUACCUGGGUUUGACAUCCCGAUCGCACCCUAUGGAAACUUAGGGGUCAGUUCGGCUGGAUCGGUGACAGGUGCUGCAUGGCUGUCGUCAGCUCGUGUCGUGAGAUGUUGGGUUAAGUCCCGCAACGAGCGCAACCCUUGUCCUUGGUUGCCAUCAUUAAGUUGGGCACUUUAAGGAGACUGCCGGUGUUAAACCGGAGGAAGGUGGGGAUGACGUCAAGUCCUCAUGGCCCUUAUAUCCAGGGCUACACACGUGCUACAAUGGCCGGUACAAAAGGCUGCGAUACCGCGAGGUAAAGCUAAUCCCAAAAGCCGGUCUCAGUUCGGAUUGGAGUCUGCAACCCGACUCCAUGAAGUUGGAAUCGCUAGUAACCGCAGGUCAGCUAUACUGCGGUGAAUACGUUCCCGGGGCUU